rnacentral:misc_RNA from 1 species
GGAGUAAAAGCCGUAACAAGGUCUCCGUAGGUGAACCUGCGGAGGGAUCAUUACAAGUGACCCCGGUCUAACCACCGGGAUGUUCAUAACCCUUUGUUGUCCGACUCUGUUGCCUCCGGGGCGACCCUGCCUUCGGGCGGGGGCUCCGGGUGGACACUUCAAACUCUUGCGUAACUUUGCAGUCUGAGUAAACUUAAUUAAUAAAUUAAAACUUUUAACAACGGAUCUCUUGGUUCUG